GUGGGGAAUAUUGGACAAUGGGCGAAAGCCUGAUCCAGCCAUGCCGCGUGUGUGAAGAAGGUCUUCGGAUUGUAAAGCACUUUAAGUUGGGAGGAAGGGCAGUAAGUUAAUACCUUGCUGUUUUGACGUUACCGACAGAAUAAGCACCGGCUAACUUAGUGCCAGCAGCCGCGGUAAUACGAAGGGUGCAAGAGUUAAUCGGAAUUACUGGGCGUAAAGCGCGCGUAGGUGGUUCAGCAAGUUGGAGGUGAAAUCCCCGGGCUCAACCUGGGAACUGCCUCCAAAACUGCAUGACUAGAGUACGGUAGAGGGUAGUGGAAUUUCCUGUGUAGCGGUGAAAUGCGUAGAUAUAGGAAGGAACACCAGUGGCGAAGGCGACUACCUGGACUGAUACUGACACUGAGGUGCGAAAGCGUGGGGAGCAAACAGGAUUAGAAACCCUAGUAGUCC
rnacentral:rRNA from 1 species